rnacentral:rRNA from 1 species
CCCUUAGAUGUUCUGGGCCGCACACGCGCUACACUGAAGGAGGCAGCGUGUACUCCUGGAUCGAAAGAUUUGGGUAACCCGCAAAUCUCCUUCGUGCUAGGGAUUGAGGUUUGCAAUUAUCCUUCAUGAACGAGGAAUUCCCAGUAAGUGCAAGUCAUAAGCUUGCGCUGACUACGUCCCUGCCCUUUGUACACACCGCCCGUCGCUACUACCGAUUGAAUGAUUUAGUGAGGACUUCGGACUGGGACCGAUGCGGCUUUCGGGCUGCGUCGGUAUUCUGGAAAGAUGUCCAAACUGUAUCAUUUAGAGGAAGUAAAAGUCGUAACA